rnacentral:lncRNA from 1 species
UUGGUCUCCCUCUCCUGGCCCUGUGCCUGCUCCCUCUGCCAUCCCUGUGUGCGCGUUUGGGAACCGCAGUCUGUGUGGAAUCCAGCUGGUCGAAGCUCUGCUGUUGGUCUGUGGAGGGAAGGGGCUGUUCUACCAGCAUGGGAGACGGGUCAGAGAGGACAACAUAGACAAAGACUCCAGCGAAGAGGAAACAGAGAAGGAUGAAGAAAGGAGUAGGGCGAGGUUGAGGUGUUACCAAGGUGAUAGGGAGAACCCAGAUGACGAGCCUAGCGAACUGGGAGCUGGCCUUACUGCAACCCCCGAAACACUUUCCUGCCUGGUCUCUCUUCACUGCUCUCCACAGCAUCUCCUCGACAGUUCUGACCUUGAAGUGGAGUUGACAGCUGAGGUGUGAGUGGAACGCUCGUCACUGCUCAGUAUCCUGUCCACUGUCACCCCUGGUGUAGGCAGCAGGAAGACGGGGUUGCUCUUUGAUCCCCGGCCCUCAGUAUCCCUCCUCCACCCACAACCCCAGGCUCCAGGGAGUUCUGGACUACAGCUUACCCCAGGCCCAGCUCCCAUCCUGGCCAUGGACUUAACUCAAAUCCCAGGCCUUAAAGGGAUGCCUGCUGUCCCUCCUCCUCACGGGAUCACAGAGACUGCCAAGAGCCCCCUGCCCUCCUCCACAUCUUCCUCCUCUCCCGCCUCCCCACCUUCCUCUUCAUCCUCCUCUCCUGGUGCCGUGGCAACCAGCUACCACAACGAUAUCCAGGAGGGAAGGGCCAACAGCAUGAUGAUGGGUGACGUGGUGUCCUCCACUUCCGCCUCCCUGGCUCCCCCCUCCUCUCACUCUGACCCCUCUUUCUCCUCCUCAGAUCCCUUGUUAUGCCUCUCACCCCUUGUGGGCACCGACGGACAAAAAGAGCUUGAGACGGAGAUCUACGACCCAUUUCACCCCACGGAAGGAGAGAGGGAGGAAGGAGCGCCGGAGGAGGAAGGGGAAAAGUACGACCCCUUUGAUCCGACCGGCUCUCCCCCCUCAGAGAGAGAGGAAGAGGAGCGAGAGACGGGGGGAGGGAGGGAGAGAGGGGAUAGCGUGAGCAGCAAGGAGAGCGAUGCCAGAGGGAAGAGAAGGAAGGCAGAGACUGGGAGGACAGGAGGAGAGGAGAAAGACAAUGCUCCUCCAGACUCCACGGACGCUCUCUCUGUUCCCCCGCUCUCACCGCGCUCCCUCCCUCUCCCCCUUCGGAGGAGGCUGGACCGAACCAAAGAGCCCCGGGUGAAAGUACGGGACAGGAGAGAGAAGGCGAACCACUCGGACCACUCUGAGAUUGAGGAGGGUGAGAUCGUUGGGGCCACCGAGAGGGACGGAGGAAAGAGGGAGGAGAGAGGCCGGGAAGGAGUCCUUCCUCUCGUCCUCCCCAUCUCCUCUGGCAGUCCUUUCCUCCACAGGGGAGCCAAGCCGGAGAGGAUCCUGAGGGUGUUGGACGGGGAUAGCUUUGUGUCGGUGCGGGCUGAGGGGGACUGGGCGGGGCCGGUGAUGCCUGGCAGGGAGGAUGGGGAGCCCAUGGAGGAGGAGGAGGAGGAAGAAGAAG